UACGUAGGUUGCAAGCGUUGUCCGGAAUUACUGGGUGUAAAGGGCGUGUAGGCGGGAUUGCAAGUCAGAUGUGAAAUCCCGGGGCUUAACCCCGGAACUGCAUUUGAAACUGUGAUUCUUGAGUAUCGGAGAGGCAAGCGGAAUUCCUAGUGUAGCGGUGAAAUGCGUAGAUAUUAGGAGGAACACCAGUGGCGAAGGCGGCUUGCUGGACGACAACUGACGCUGAGGCGCGAAAGCGUGGGGAGCAA
rnacentral:rRNA from 1 species